CCUAAGGACUCAAGUCAAGUCCCCAGUAUCCAUAUAAAAAGCGGGGUGUAGUGGCUCAUCUAAUCCCAGCAUUGUACAGACAGACAUAGACCAUUCUUUGGGGCUCAGCUGUCCUAGCCUAACUGGGACCAGUGAGAGGUUGUCUUAAAAAGCAAGAUGAAUAGUACCUAAGGAAUGAUAGUCAAGAUUGACCUCUGGUUUCCAUACAAACACACACACACAUACACCACAAAAGGUAAAUAAACCAACCUUAGCUGUUGUAUGACUUCUGUAAAGUAUCUGACAUUAAAAAUGAAUCUUUAAUCUCAAAGGAAGGAAAACACCUUACAUGGAAGUGUAAGCAGUCUUGCUGAUAUGUCUUCAUGUAUGUCAUUUAAUCUGGGGAUUUCAAAGUGUUUCUUGAAAUAUACAGAAGAAAUUGAGUUCAAUUCUGCAUCCUAUAGCAUCUCGCUCAGCCUAAACACAUAGCAGUUAGUGUGAUGAAUUUUUUUUCUCCACUUAUCAUAAGCUAGAAUCAUCUUGGAAGAAGGAACCUCAGUUGAGAAAAUGCCUCCAUCAGAUUGGCACAUGGAUCAGUCUGUGGGGGUGUUUUUAAUUAUUGACUGAUGGGGGACAGCUCAGAGUACUGUUAGUGGUGGUACCCUUGGGCAAGUGGUUCUGAGUGCUGUAGAAAGCAGGCUGAGCAAGUCAUAGGAGCAAGGCAGCAAGCAGCAUUCCUCCAUGGUCUCUGUACCAGUUCUUGUGUUGAGUUUCUACCCUGACUUCAUUUUCAUCAUGGACUGUGAUUUGGACCAAUAAGAAAACAAGCAAGCAAGCAAGCAAGCAAGCAAACAAACAAAAACAUUCAUACAUAAAGCAAUUAACUAAGCAACCAAACAAAAACCCUUUUAUCCCCAAGUUGGUCACACGGUGUUUAGCACAGUAAUAGAAAUCAAACUGUAACAGUAUGUAACAACUGCUUACAUGUCAGCCCAGUAAUGGAGGCAAUGGUGUGCUCAAGCAAACUCAAGCUCAUUUGCUAAUAGAUAGCUGAGCAAAAAGGCAAGCUGACUGUAGGAUACCACAGCUCUCAACAUGUCAAGACACCAGGUUUCAGUCACAACCAGUCCACAAAGAUUUUGGUGACAUUGCUGCUCAGAACUUUCUUUGAAAAAGAAAGGACUGUCACUAGAAGGUUCUGGGUCCAGAGCUCUGUCUAACUGAUCUCCACAUGCACAAAUCUCACUUCUGUUUGUAAAGCAGACAAAGGUUUCAGAGUGCUCACUCAAAUCCCCAUGCCUACACAGCGUCAGAACCAAAGGGUGCUCUUUGUACACUGAACACAGAUAUCUAACCUGGUAGAGGAUUGAAGGAGGGGGUUGAGAAACUGGUCCAGUCAGAAUGGUUCUAAUGGAAGAAUAAUGAUCCACUGCAUAGCAUCAUUAAUGAAUCUGGGUUUUCAUUAGAUUUAUCAAAUAGAUUUAUCAAAAGUUACUAAAAUUUGAUCAUUUAGUUUCCAAAUAUUUUAUAUUAGAAGUAUGUCUGUAUUAUGUGCCUUGACUUCUAUCAAACAUUUUAUAUUGAAAAUAACCUUUCCUUAUGCUCAUGCUAUCAAUGAUUAUUUUAUACAAUACAGGCAUGUAACAUUGGUUUUUUUUCUAAUGCUCUGUACAUUAACUAGGCCUAAACAGUACAUAUAGAAUUUUAAAAAGGAUUUAUAAUAGAUUUAUAUAGUAUUUAAAAUAGGAUUAUAGAAUUUAAAAAAUUUACCCCAAAACAAUGUAGCUUACUUAGAAGGUGUGAAGUUUAGUUUUUAUAUAAACUCCUCAUCCCAUUCCUUUUAGAGUUCUAAUUUACAUAGCCAUAAUAUAGCAACUAAAAAUCAAUAAAUUGCUUUGGUAUCAAACUGUUAACUGAAUGUCAAACUUCACACAAAUGUCACCAGUUUUUCUAUUCAUAGCCUUUCUUUGUUUUGACCUAAUACAGAACCCUAAAAUUGGUCUCAUCUGUCUCCUUAGUCUCCUCGAUGAGUGACAGAUCUUAUGCUGCCCUGUCUGUCAUGACCCCGUUACUCUUGGCCAGUUACUGGUCAGUUACUUUGUAGACUUCCCUUUUAUUUCCCCGUCUUUUCGAAUGAUUCUAUUGAGGUUAGAGAUGCUAGACCCUAUCUCUGGUUCAUCUUACCAGGGGGUACAUGAUAUGAAAAAUCUUAUCUCUGGCAGGUUCAGCCUGGUCAUAGGUGAGAUAGCACAGGCUGGGGCAGCUCAUUGUUAACCGCUUUCCCACUGUACUUACCAAAUUUCUCUGAUUUCCUCUUACUUCAGAGUGAGGUGUCAGUAUCAGGCACCGUUAGCACCUCUAGCAGCUUGCUUUUCUGAUCUAUUACAGGCUCAAAAAUCAAGAAGCGAUAGCCUGACAGAAUUCUAAAUCCUUUUAGAAACUGUGCUCUGAACAAAAGUUUAUCUCAGACUUGUGAAGUUGUCUUUUUUUAGUACUUAGGCUGUUUUGUAGUUUCACAUAUUUCUCAGUCUGGGGUGUUUUCCUCUGGAAUCUACAUCAUCGUUCGUAAGCUUUAAUGAGUAGCCUUCCAAGUGGAGCCCUCCCUGGGAGGGACUUACAGAUCAGAUGUAGAGCCCUUAAGACAAAACUGGGGUUGAGCUAUGGCCAGCUCAGAAAGUGGGUUUACUUCCCACUUCCCUGUCACAGAGGCCGUGACAGAACAUGGACACAGGAAUGUGGAAGCCAUCGAUUUCAUAAGUACCCACUGCGUCAGCCGUGAGAGGACAGUCUGCUAUAAUACUCAUAAAACAAGUGCUAUCUCCUGUUGACACACGCUAAGUACUCUUUCUAAAUCUUUAAACCUUACACUCCCAGUUCCAAAUCAAUAGGCUGAAGGACCAAUAGACGACAUUACAUCUUCGUGAUGCUACCCACAUCACGGAAGAAUAUUUCUGGAAUGGUCUUUUUCCCCACAAUGCCGGCAAACCCACACCUCCUCUUGUUUGUCGGAUUUCACUGAAACUAUAAUUUCUAAAUAUUUCAGAGAAUAGUCCUUUUCUUUGUGCCUUACACAGCUCCCCUCCAUUUAAAAGUUCUAUGUGAAUUAUAUACAUUUCUACCCAGAACGAGCUGCAUUUCAUGUAUAGUUAGCAUUUAUCAUAUGCUUAAGGUGUUUUUGUUUAUAUCGUUUUUAUUUGAUGAGGUUAGACCUGGCCCAUUCCUCCUGGUUUAUACAAACUGAGUAAGAACCCAAACAUUCUCAAACAGCAUGUCUUUAAAUAUGUGCAUGGUAGUUAUCUGUCUCCCUAGUGCACAGUUCAUAAAGAUGAUUGAGUUGGCUGUUGUUCUGUUGUUUAAUAUGAUAAUUAGGCAAUCACUAAAUCUUACACUUUCUUACAGAAAAUGUUAACACACAUUGAGAAAACCAAAAGCAGAGAGCUGUAAUCUGGACGAUAAAAUGCAUUACUCUGUUUAAAAGGAUUGUUUUACAGGCACAAUUAACAAUCAGCGGCCACAGUGUAGACGGUGUUUUGAUGCCAUCUGUUGGAAUAAGCCUUCUCACUCUCUGGAGUGAAGCUAUAAUUUUCCGUUUACAGUUUCAUUAGGCAACACGCAAGAUUAACAGUCCCCCAAAGCAGAGGAAUUCAGACACUUCCACUGUUACAGCCUCCUAUAAACAGUUAGUUAGUAAGCUACUGAAAUUUCCUGGAAAUGCUAUUAGAGAGCAGGCUGUGAGACCACACAUUUCUAUCUUGGUUGCAGCCUUAAAAUAUGAACAGUUCAAAUGCCAAUGGCUUCUCUACUCUUAGUUUUAGUACUGAAGAUAUGAUUGCCACUCUCUUGCUUAUUUCUGAUAUCUAUUAACUAAUAAAAAUAAUCUACCUAGGCCUAAAUACCCUAUAACAGUAUGAGUGAGGAAAGUUAGCAACCUGCCCAAUGUAACACAUUGCUGUUUAUUGUUAUUAGACUAUUAAAUGUCAGAUCAAAAUCUCUGGGGUUUCUAAUACACUAGAGGGUGCUAGCUCUCUAUGUGUAUACAGUUAGAAGGCAAAACUUUUACCAUGAUUAGUUUGGGGAAUUACAAAAGUUGACCAAAAAAAAAAAAAAAAAAUCCUAUUAGAGUACAUGGGCUGUGCUGCACAUAAAGGAAAGAAGGAGAAGGAAAAGGUUUAUUUAAGUCCAAUAAGACUGAAUCAGCAAGGGUCUAAGAAGAGAAUCUGCCACCAAAAAGGCAAUAUCACUAUAAAUGCUGGUAUCAAUAUGGCCUUUCUCUGUGACUGGGUCAUUAGCUGCUGUCUCCAAACCUGAAUGAAGUCCGCAGCUCAUUAGACACAGAAGUAUGGACUAUGAGCUUCCGGGCUACCUCUCAUGUGGACUGCUCUACAAGGGCAAGCCACCAGGCUAGAGGAGGCUUCUUAUUAUAGAAGUUGGCUUCUGCUCUCAAACAGAAGAUGUGUGUUGUGACUCAAAAUGAGCUCAGGACACUGUCCUUUUAGAUGCAUAUGUAAAGAGUUAAUGUAUUUGCAGAAUGACUGGUUCUGCCAGGAAGAAUUAUCAUAAAAAUGGCAGUGAUGUUUACUUUUUAACAUAAAUUAAGCAACUUAUGUGAGAUUCUCUUCCAUUGAUAGGCUGUUUGAACAGUCUCAAAUGGGAAGAUAUCACUGUGAAGAUCUGAACUUAUGUUCUACAGUUGACUGGUUAGUCACUCCCUAAGUAACUGAUGACUUUCUGCAGGUCUCGACACAGCUGCAGAGUGAAAGUGUGCAGCUCACAGAUGCACACAAGCAUAAGCACACACGUGAGUGUGAAGAGACAGAAAUAGAUUUACAUUGAAUAGCUUUAAAAAGAGACUCAAUCCAACAAGAACUUCAUCACAGAUUCUAUCACAUGUAUCUGUGGGGUGUAUGCCUUUUCUUUCCUUCCUUUGAGUUUGGUUUUCUCUCUUGAAAAGACUAGCUAACAGCAUUCUGGAUAGAUAGACUCAAGCCCAGGGAAAGUGAGGUUGCUCACCUGCAAGUUUCUGCCCUCAGAGCUGGGCUGGAGUUCAAACUGUCCAAAUCUUCGGAAUUUCAUUCUCAAGGUCUAGUCCAACCUCAUUUUGCUUUCUCCUCUUUUUUUUUUUACUCCAGGAACCAAAAUACAUUCACAUGGUCUCUCUAGUCUAUGGGCACAUCAUCCAAAGGUGUUUUAAAUGUCUGAAUUUCCCCCUGCUCCUGCAGGUCAAGUGGGAAUUGGGAGACUGAGUGUACCUUUGCCCACACCAGUAGGGGCUUUCCCAGAGCCUUUUAACAUUCUGAAACAUCUAAAAAGUGCCCAAAUGAAGGAUGUGUCCCAUCAUCUCCUGUCAUAACAAUUCUGCUUAGCAGAAACAAAGCCAUGAACUUCCCAGAACGCAAACACGAAAAGACCACUAUUUGUGCUUAUAUGCGCUAAGCAAACACAUAAGAGCAAUCAGUCAAGACCCUUCAAACCUAAGACUACCAAAGACAGUCCAAUGAUCACAGACACUGCUAAAAUAUAAACACUGGUGUCAUUUUUAUUAUUCUGUGUCUGAAAUGGCUAUUUUUGGUCAUCAACUUGACACCAGGAAUUAAUCUAAACUGAAGCUGCUAGGUAUACCUAUGAAGGAUUUUUCUUGAUUGGAUCAUUCCAGGUAGGAACGCUUGCCCUAAAUCCAUAUCUUUUGAGAUGGGAAGACACACUCUAAAUCUGGGCCAUCACUUUUGAUUACUCCCUAUACAAGGGACACGGAAGAAGGAAGCUCUCUCUCUUUGGUUGUUCUUUCUCAUUCUCCCUGCCAAGUUGACUCCUUUUACUGUGAUUUGAGCCCAAUUCUUCAGGAUUCUGGCAUAUACUGAAGACCAGCUGACACAUUCAGCUUCUUGGACUGAACAACUGUUGGAUUCUUAGGCUUUCUAUAGAGAGACAGCCAUUGUUUGACUAGCUAGACCACAGUCUAUAAGCUACACCUAUAGAUAGAUAGAUAGAUAGAUAGAUAGAUAGAUAGAUAGAUAGAUAGAUAGAUAUAGAUGAUAAAGAUAUAGAUAUAGAUCCAUCCAUACAUGCAUACAUGCACACACACACACACACACACACACACACACAGUUCUACUAGUUCUGUUUCUCUAGAUAACCCUGACUGAUACAGUGUAAAGUGUCCUGCCAGAAUUCUACCUUGCAGAAGUACUCUCUGCAAAUACAUACAUUUUAAAACACACACUUAAAAGGACAGCAUCCUCAGCUCAUUUUGAAUCACCAUAGAGAUUUGUCAUGGAUCAAAUUUGCAUCCUCUCUUUGGGAGCAGGGGCAAAAUCUGCCAUUGUAAAGCAUGGAAAGUGAGUGGAAGGCAAGAGAGUGCCUUUCAGAUGGUCAGAGCUCUCAGAGGCAUCAACUCUGAUGACCGGGGCCACUCUGCACAGGGGAAUCAGAAUCUUGCUGUGCUCUUCCCAUCUCCCCAGGGACAAGCCAGCUUAUGGCAUUUAUUGGACUUAUUCUUGAGUCUGGACUACUGGGGCUCAUUUCUAAUUCUGCCCCAUGUUAGACUCAUCACCAUAUGUAAUCUACUUAUUCUGUGCCUCCAUGUUAAUUUAGAACUUGCCAUUUUUCAUUUUCUGCAUGACUAAUGCUCCCUGUCUCCGUCACCAUCAUUUUAAAAGUCUCCCAGUGGGCUUCUAGCCUCAAAAAUAUGUUCCCAAUAUGACUUCUACCAAGCUCAUUUGAAAUUCGAUAAAAUUAAAAUUCACGUAAUGACUUCACACUAAACUCAAGUUCCAGUCCUUAUAAUAGCUUAAGCGGUCCACAUGCUGCUCCGCCUGUUGGCCUCUGGGACCAUCGCCUUCCCUCCUCAUCUGCUUUGGAGCAUUCAACAUCAGAUCUUGCAGGACUUGCAACAUGCAGGACUUGCAUCUGAGCUUUUGCCAGAGUGGUCCAGUUAGAACCUUCCUUCAAUACCUGCCCUUUGAUGGGCCUUCUAUUUUUCUUUCUCAUAGGGUGACUCUUCCUCUGUUUAAUAAGCACACACUAAUCCUCGUCUUCGCUACUACUCCCCAGUGCUCCUGCUGACCCAGCUUGCCCUAUUAUUCUUUUUCAUGCCAUAUCUUACUUUUCAGUCAGUAUCAAAUGUACUAGUUUAAUAUUGUUUACCAUCUUUCUUCUCUAGGUUCAUAAGGCAGGGGCUUUCUCUAUUUUGUUCAUAGCAUAUUGCUUACAGUUUUCACUUUAAAACAUUUCAGUAAGUAUGAUCAGUAAGAUGCUGGUGUCUAUUAGUGGCUUUGUUGCCCUGCUAUGGAGAAACUCAAUUUUCUUCUGCCCCCUUUCUCUUUCCCCCUCCCCCCCCCAACACACACACUGCUAGGUUACCAUAUGUAGUUUUGUUUUUUGAGAUAGAAUUUCUCUGUGUACCCCUGGCUACAUGUAAACUUACAUGUAGACCAGGCUGGCCUUGAACUCACAAAGAGCCUGCCUUCCUCUGUCUCCACUGAAAUUAAAGGGGAGAUUAAAGACAAGUCCACCAUGGCCUGGCAUGGCUGUUUCGUUUUGUUAUUUUUGUUGUUGUUGUUGUUUAAUGUUUUUUAUGUUAUUUUAAAAUUCCAAUGCCAAGAUGGUUUUACUUCUUUGGAAGUUUUUGGCCAGUGAGGUCCUGUAAACCCUCAAACCUCACAGGACUUUGUUUUGCCAUUGAUCUUGGUUACACUCCAGAACUUGAUUGCAGUAGGCUGUUCUUAGUGAAGAUACCACGUUCUUGAGUCUUAGAACACGAUGAAAUGAGUCUGGUAUGGACCUGGAAGCUGCAUCCCUAAUGGAUGAUAGUGCUUUAACAGUGCUAGGGGUGCUCUUCAGGGUAGUGGAGGGGAGGUAUACUCAUCAACCAUACCCAGCUCUGAACUCUGCAUGCCCCAAUAACCACCGGCCUACAAGGACACACCUACUGAUACAACAGUGACAUAAGCAUCAUAGGAGUAAUGAACUACUUUCUGAUUGGAUUUAAUUCCUACUCUACAAAAUGGAACUAAUAUUGUGGCACCAUCACCCUGCUAACAACCCAUAACUGGCUAAGUCAUGCACCGUAGGAUAGGGCCUAUUACCAUUGAACUGCUAAAUGGACACAGUAUUAAAUUGACUUCUAGUGACCUAUCAUUAUACCCAUUGAUCAAUGCCUCUAUUAGUCACCAUCUGAGGGUCUUCUGUUUUCAUCAGAUGGUGUUUAGCAUAGAGACCCACAACUGGCCAAGAUGCAAAGUAUAAAGCACUAGAAAGUGUCCAGACUAAAGGGAACCUAGAUAGUACAUCCCCUUCCAAAGCUCAGGGUCCUUGCAGAAUUAAGGACACAGAGUAUAGGAUUCAGAGGCUGUGGAUGACUACAAAGAAACUAUCUUCUGGACAAAGCAGGUCAGAUGCACAUAUGAACUCACAGCAGUUGUUACAGUGUGCACAAAUUUUGUGUGAGCCCAAGAUAGAGCAAACACCAGCAGGGAGAGAGGAAUCUGGGUAAGCGAUCCGACUUGACCAUGGUGCUCUUGACAAUGGUCAGCUGCUCUGAAAGGGAGACUUGAUUUUUUUCUAACAGUCCAGCCCCUGGUAAGUCUACCACUCUCCAGUGGAAGAUCACACAUCCCAGAAUAUUUAAGUAGCACAAAUUGGUCAUUAUGUUUUUUUUUAAAUGGGACACAAAGAUGGGUGAGUAGGGAAGGAGUAGAUAUGGAAAGAGUUGGAGAAGGAAGGUGAAAAUGACUGAAACACAUUGGUUUGGAACUCUCAGAGAAAUAAUAAAAAUUAAUUUUAAAAGUGGUUCAGUGAGUGAGUAAAUUUUAGAAUGAUAAAUGACAUAUGCUCUACUUACAAAUUGCUCAAAAUUUUUGGUAUUAUCGUUACUGCUACUGCUUCCACUACUGAUCCCGGCAUUAGUGUCGGUGAUACUCAUAAUACUGUCUAAUCUUGCACUGAUCACACAUACUGACUUGCUAAGUUGUAAUUAUGAAAUGCCUCGGACCUUCAGCUCAGCUCCAAAUUCCUGGAUUAUUCUGAUCCCAGCUAACACUAUAGGGAGAGCUUCAUGUUGGAACUGGCCCCCCUCUCAGCAUGAGAGGGAUUCCUUCUAUACUAAAGGACUCUCCCCUAAUUGUCACUGGAGCAUGUCUGGCCCUCUGGCUUUCUCCCUGUUCUCUAUUCUGGAAGGGCACGGAACCCCUGGCUACUUACCUGGCACCUGGCACUUUUCAAAUAAUAUCCUCUGAAGCAUUUCCUAGAGUUACAAGGGAAUAGACUGUCCUGAAACAGUCCCGAUCAGAAGCCCCCAACCACUGACUGUAGCUUGGCCAAGGCAGGGCUUUGCACAACUGUUGCAGAGUGCAGAAGCCACUUUAAUUCCUUUGCCUCGCUGAUAUUAGCAAGGGAACUGCUUCUCUAACAGAAACGAUGACAUGAUGACAAAAAUCACAGGAAACAGAGCAUGAUCUAAUGUCGGAAUAGAAGCUCCUCAGUUCACUCCAGCACCUGUCAGGUCCUGAAUACAGCUGCUUGCCUUCACAAUUUUAGGAACUGCCAAUCUAGACCACUGUUUCUGGAACUCCAUUAUGUACACGAGACACCUAGCAUCUCGCCUGAGGCUUCUUCAUAUUCUGCAGGCCUGCAGGGUAGCCUGGAACUUUGUAUUUCUAACAAGCUCCCAGGUGGCAUGCAGCUGCUGGAACAGCCUGUGCUUAGAAUAUCAAAACAUCUAGACUCCCUAACCUCCUCAGGUAAGUCCUGAAGUUACUGUAAAGACGGGAUUUGUGCACAGAGUGAGGAACUUCGAACAUGCUUUACUAACUUGCAGUAUUUAGUUCCCCAUGAGCUGUGAGAUGAAAACCCUCAUGCACAUUUUGAGUCGAUAAAAGGCUCUCUAUUAGUGGCUAAGGGUUCAGACCCUGUGACAAUGUACAGUGCAAUAUAUCAGCCAUCAAGCUUCAGCAGACUUCGUUCAGAGGGUGGGUGCUAUUUUUAAGUUGUGCCUCCUGUAGGUAAUUGCUGAGUUAGAGAACAUUUUACUCUGAGCAUCUGUGGGAUUGCUGCUUGUGAUGGUUUAUAUAUGCUAGGCCCAGGGGGUGGCACUAUUAGAAGGUGUGACCCUGUUAGAGUAGGUGUAGCCUUGUUGGAGUUGUGUGUCACUGUGGGUGUGGGCUUUGAGACCUUCAUCCUAGCUGCCGGGAAGCCAGUACUCUGCUAUCAGCCUUCAAAUGAAGAUGUAGAGCUCUCAGCUCUGCCUGCCAUGCCUGCCUAGAUGCUGUCAUGCGCCCACCUUGAUGGUAAUGGACUGAACUUCUGAACCUGUAAGUCAGCUCCAAUUAAAUGCCGUCCUAUAUAAGACUUGCCUUGGUCAUGGUGUCUGUUCACAGCAGUAAAAACCUAACUAAGACACAACCUACAUGGCCAUCUUACUAGCCAGGCCUUCAAUGAACUAACUGCAUGGUAGACUAGACAGAUGUGGGAAGAAGAGAAGAUGUGUGAAUAUGGCCUGUCUUGAAACACAUGCAUGAGUGGAUGUAAAAGGGACACAUACGGUAUAAGUGUAAGGUGUUCAACAAAGUGACUGAAUUGUUGGCCACUCACAUGGACACAGGGUUUCUGAGUUUUACCCAGAACUAACCCUAUCAGUGAUGAACACAUACUCUUUAAGAAAUGAUUCUCAAAAAAAAUUACCAAAAAAUUUGAAUUAAUAUUAUGGUUAUUUGAUUUUCUAAAAUUAAUUACGCAGCAGCAAAUAUCAGCUUUAAAAAGUUGGAUAUUAGAAAAAAACGAAGUCUUGGUAUGUUCUCUCUUUGGAGCUCUUUUAAUCAAGAGUUAAAUCUGCCGUUUCAAAACAAACUAAAACAAAACAAAAGCUGAACAUUAUAUGUGGGGCCUUGUAAACACUUAAAGUUCAUCCUACAUGCUGCUGAGGAAAGUCUAUUUCUGUGUGUGGACACAGAAGAUGGCAGGUCCUAUAGUUACGGGGAGUGGUGCUGUCUGUCUUCUGUGUUGAUCCUUCACAGCUGGGAUUGCCUCUCUGCUCAUGUUUCUUGGAUAAGAAGGAUUUUAAAAAUUGUUAUUGAUGCCCUUACUCAGCAUAAGUUUCAACUAGGCCAAAAGCUACCAAUUGUUGUUGGGUAAAUUGAUUGAUGGUGUGUCCCUAUGUAUUCAAUUGUUAAUUCUCUAUCUGUAGAGAGCUAAAUGCUGGCAGGAUCUUAAAGAGUAUUGUUAUUUCCAUAACCCACCAUAGGCCUCAUAUUUUGUAAAUAUUCAACCCUCCUCAUUAGCCUAGAGGCAAUCUAGAAUUGUAUCUGCUGGGCUGUAAUAAAUCUUAUGUUCAAUAGCUAAGCAGGAAGUGGAGGGUGGAACUUCCGGAAGAGAAAAGGGAUGCUGGGAGAAGAAGUGAGAGGCGGAAGAUUCAGCCCGCAGACACGGAGGUGGUGGAACCAGAGUGGAGCGGAGAAGUAGAGCUAGCCACUUGGCCAGGAUUAGUUAGAUUAAGUUUAGAGCAGCUGGGAGACCGACCUAGCUAAAACGCCUAAACUAUAAAAUAAUAAUAAUUUUAAAAAAUGCCUCUGUCAUUGUUUAAAUUGCUGCCAUGUCUGCUAUAGAUCAGUUAGGGGAAGCAUUGAGCAGCAGAGAGAGGCCUGUCCUAUGAAGGUGAUGCCUUCAACAUUCCUUUAAAUCAUAAAAGGAUAUGGUCAUCAGAGAGAGAGAGACACGGGGCAUGGGAGUAAUGGGACCUGAAGGGAAAUGGAGUCCCCAAAGAAAAGGAAAUCAACAGCAAAGAGAAAUGCCAUUUGGAUCCUAGCCGUCAGGAUUAGGUUACUGGAGAGAAUAAACUUGGCUCAAUAUUAAGCAGAUAUGUAAGUUAAAUGGUGAAGACCAAUUAUAACAUUGAUUGGUCUUGGUAAGUUAUGUUUUAUAUCUCUGGUAAAUUUUAAUCAGUUUAACUAACCAGAUGGCUGGAUGAUUGAUUGCUUGCAUUUUUACAUUGGUUACAUUUGGUUAAAUGCAUUCCAGUACAGAUUGCAUUGUUUCCUAGUAACUAAUAUUACUAGAUAACCAUCCAUAUUGUCUUGUUAAGGCUACUCAAGAAUUUUCAUACACUUUCUGGCUUAGAUAACAGAUUUUUUUUCUUACUCUAGAAGCUAGGUAUCAUAAGGUAUCAGGGGGGCCAGACUCUCCUGAGGUCUCUGUCCUUGGUAUGCAGACCCUGCCCAUACAUGGUCUUUCCACUGGCACACACAUCAUUAAUAUCUUUGGGGUUGUAAGUCUCCUUUUCUCAUAAGGACACUAGUCAUAUUGGGUGAGGACCCAACCUAGUAGCCUCACUGAAACAUGAUAAUCACUAUCAAGGAUGCCUCCAGUGGUGACAGCCCAUGGUAACCAGUUCUGCAGCCACCAUUCAGCCCAACAAAAACCUACUGUAGCUCAAAACACAUUCACAGAUGACAGCAUCCAGGCUGGACCUGCAGAGCAUCAUUCCUGCAAUUAUUCCCCAACAAUAUGAUGGAGCCAAUAUUUCCCAGGCAUUUACUCUAGACAUAUCAGGAAUAAUCUAUAGAUGCUUUAAUAAUUCCAUGUGGGGUUGGGGGGGAGGAUAUGUAACUUCUGCACAAACAAAACAACUGUGUAUUAUUUUAUCUAAGGUAAAUGGACACCUUCAGAUUCCAUGGGAAUUCUGAGGCCAAUCCCCAGAAAGUGUCAGAGGACAAUUGCAGACAUGCUCUGAGGUACUGACCGUGAGGAAGAUCUUCAGUGAUAAACAUUUUGAUAGGAUACAACUCAGCCCAUUAACACAAUCAUCCUUUUCUAAAUAAGAAGGGGACCACAGGAGCAAAGGCUGAAGAGCAAGCUCUACCAGAUAGUACAAAGCCCUCCCUUUUAGUUCCCAGUUCUAAAAUUCAAAGGACAUAAACAUCAAGUGAAGUCCUCUUGCCUCCACAUCUUGUUUCCCAGAGCACAGUUCAGCAAAUGACUUCCCAAUGCUAAUAGCACAUUUGUACAAGAUCAUCCACCAAAUAGCAGCAGCCAAGCACUGACUUAAGCUGCCACCUCUGUUGUACAAAUAUGUUCAUGAGGAAGUUCAAUGACAGCAUCUAAAAUAUUAUUAUUGCACAAAUCACCACACUAUUCAUAUUUAAAAUGAAAGACAACUAUUUGUCCAACAUUGGUUACUUACACAGGGGAAUUUCACUUUGUAUUCUCUUAAUGUACAAACCUGAAGUCACCAUGGCCAGAUCCACAUAUUAUUUAUUUGAAAAACAGGACAAUGUUCAGAGACAAAGCCUUUAUAAGCUAAAAUUCAGCAUGUGGAUAAGGACCCACUGACUCUGACCUCCCUUUGAGCAAUGUUUUAUAAUUGUAAGGUCGAAACACAAGUCUGGUUUUUAAAUGUGUAAAUAGAUAUUCUGCUUUUCGGGAAAAUUCACCUGGAAUAUAUGUUUAAAGGAUUAAAACAACUGAAAUUUUUGACUUUUGAAGCUUUUUGUACAUUUUGAAACAUCCCAAAGACACUUUGCCCUAUACCAAUAUUCCAAGUCACUAAUUUAACUACAGCUUGGUCCCUAUGGAGCAGGGUUUUUUUAUUCACUUUUAAUCAUUAAGGUUUGGGAUAUAUAAUUAACUAUUGGGACUACAGGGGCACACCAUAAACCUGAGACCUAUAUUUUGAAACUCAUCCAUUUUAAUUGUUUCCUAGAGAUGUAAAAUUAUUAUAAACUUUGAAGGACUCAUCCAACAUUGAUUGCUCUUGAAAACUCUCUAACCAAAAAUGUGGUAUGUACAACCAUUCACGGCUUGCCCAGAAAAUAGCACCACAGUCAACAAAGGUACUGAAGCGAGAUUACAGCAUAGGCAUCCUUUUCUCUCCUACAUCAGCUCCAGGUGGAAGUAUUUGCAAAGCCCUGACGUGCCUUCACGAGGUUGGCCUGAAUGUUUGACAGAAUGGCAGGGACAAGGCUGGCUGGUUUCCAGACAAGGAAGCUGCUGUGUGUCACCCAAGGACGCUGCUGUGUGUCACUCAGUGCCACCUUCUCAUUUGAGAGCAGAUGAGGGGGAGUCAGGGAGAAACAAUUCUGCAAUCUUCUGAAUUGGAAGAUAUGUCUGAAUGGAAGAGAAGAAGAAGCAAGAAAGCUCAGGCACUACCUUCCCAGAGGCAAGUGGCACUCCUCGGCCAGUUAAUAAACAAUGACACCUCAACUGAAAUGCCCAAGGAGAAAGCCAUCCGAGGUGCCACUACAUCCGUCCUUCUCUCUCUAACCUUAAGUCAACAGAGAAGCAGAAUAAGAAGAAUGUAGACAGAUUCUACAGAUUACCUUCCCAAGCACCCAUAGGAGAGGAGGGAUAGAUAGAAAGGCAGGUUAGACUCAGAAAAAGGUAAGCCCUGCCUGGCUCCAGGUAUUCCGGGAUGAGCUUGGGGUAAGAUCUGCUACACUCCACAAAGAUGUAGCAGAAAUGAGUUUGCCAUUUGGUCAGUAAAUCCCUUUAAGUUCUAUACAGAGUCCUGUCAUUUGCCCAGCUGUACCAGGAAUAGGACUGUCAGAACAUCCUGUGCUGGAGUGCAUGGCAAUUUCAUUCACGGCAGGCGCCAAGUAAUUUGGAUCUUAAAAUGCACCUCACAAGAAGUUCGAAAAAUACAGAGGAAGUUUCAGCAUUGAGUCUUUGAGUAUCUCUUGUCUAGAAUAACUGCCCCUGUCAUUUAGGGAGCCCAUGGAAGUGCUGGUUUCUCAGGUAUGGCUAUGGAUGUCCUCUUACCCCUUGAGGCAGGUACAGUGAGGCUCAUUUGCUCCCCGGGAUGGCGAAGCCAGGAUCAAAUCUACCCUUUUCAUUGUGCUUACAGCAAGAUUCUCUCUUCCCAGAUACAACUCUUCCAACUUCCACCCUCUUGCCAAGCUUUAUGGAAGAAACCCACACUCAAUACUUGCCUCUCUGCCAAGGAUUCAUUCAUUCCACAAACAAGGUAUCUCCUGGCCCCUUCUGCCUUCCCUCCAGGUCCAGUGGUCUGUUUCCCAGGAAUAAUCCAUCUCUUAGCUCUUGAUGCCUAUGUGGAACUGCUCCUCCUAUAAUUCUGGUUUCCUGGUUUCUCAUGGCUCUCUUGUGCUUUGAUCUGAUUCUUACUCUAGACCAUCCCUCAAUCACUUUUCCUCCCUCCCCUCUCUCUUCACUUUCAUUUCUCAUUCUCCCUCCCCCUCCCCCUGCUCUCCCGUUCUUUCUCCUUUCUCAGAUUUAUUCUAGUUUCUGGAAUCUAGUUGUCCCCACAGCAGCAGUUCUCAACCUGUGGGUCACAAUCCCUUUUUUGGGGGAGGGGGUCAAGCAAUC